rnacentral:rRNA from 1 species
ACGAACGCUGGCGGCGUGCUUAACACAUGCAAGUCGAACGGAAAGGCCCUGCUUUUGUGGGGUGCUCGAGUGGCGAACGGGUGAGUAACACGUGAGUAACCUGCCCUUGACUUUGGGAUAACUUCAGGAAACUGGGGCUAAUACCGGAUAGGAGCUCCUGCUGCAUGGUGGGGGUUGGAAAGUUUCGGCGGUUGGGGAUGGACUCGCGGCUUAUCAGCUUGUUGGUGGGGUAGUGGCUUACCAAGGCUUUGACGGGUAGCCGGCCUGAGAGGGUGACCGGCCACAUUGGGACUGAGAUACGGCUCAGACUCCUACGGGAGGCAGCAGUGGGGAAUAUUGCACAAUGGGCGGAAGCCUGAUGCAGUAACGCCGCGUGCGGGAUGACGGCCUUCGGGUUGUAAACCGCUUUCGCCUGUGACGAAGCGUGAGUGACGGUAAUGGGUAAAGAAGCACCGGCUAACUACGUG